GAUGAACGCUGGCGGCGUGCCUAACACAUGCAAGUCGAGCGUGAAGGUUCGGAUUGAGGCUUCGGCCAAGAGAAGAACUGGAAAGCGGCGGACGGGCGAGUAACGCGUGGGCAACCUGCCCCAUACAGCCGGAUAGCCACUGGAAACGGUGAUUAAUACGGCAUAAGACCACAGCGCCACAUGGCGCAUAGGCCAAGGAUUUAUCGGUAUGGGAUGGGCCCGCGUCUGCUUAGCUAGUUGGGGAGGUAACGGCUCAACAGGGCGACGAUCAGGAACCGACCUCAGAGGGCGGACGGUGACACUGAAACUGGGACACAGUCCACACACCUACGGGGGGCAGCAGUGGGGAAUAGUGCACAAUGGGGGCAAGCCUUAUGCAGCAACGCCGCGUGAGUGAAGAAGGCCUUCGGGUUGUAAACUGCUUUUAUGAGCGAAGAAUAUGACGGUAACUCAUGAAUAAGGAUCGGCUAACUCCGUGCCAGCCGCCGCCGUAA
rnacentral:rRNA from 1 species